UCUAGCUGAUUGGCUCUUCGGCCCCAGCAACAUCUAGCUGAUUGGCUCCUCUGCGGUGAUGCUCAUUGGACUGUUUCCCUGCCCUUUCAGACCACGGAGCUACUCAUUGGGGGACUUUUUUGGCUCCGCUCAUAUGACCCAGCCAAUCGGCCUCAAGAGCAGGAGGAUUGUGGGAGGUAGAGAGAAGCUUGUGUGGGAGAGAGAGGCUUAUGGAAAGCCGGUAAUAGCAGUUGAGGCUCUGAAGGUUUUUCCUGAGAAGCUGUUUUGUUUGGUGUGUGUGGUUCUAAAAAUAAAGUUAGUUUCUUUUGACAAGUGGCUCCUGAUUGUGCCCAGCCAGACUGCGGCAUUUGGUGGCCCGUAUGGGGAACAACUAAGGGUAAGUGAAACUGCUCGCCCCUGAGGGCAGGGCGAGAGGAUGGGUAGCCAUUUUAAGAUUCCUCUUUUAUUUUGCUUCACUUUUGUUUUAAGUUGCCUGUCCCUGGAGAUGAGUGAGACAGAAGAAAAACAGCUCACAUCUGAGGAAAAACUAUUUACGUCUGAGGAACAGAUAAGGAGAAAGGACAGAUGCCNAAGGAUGUUGAAAUCCUAGUAUGUGUCAAUGCCAACUUUAUUUGGAAACAGGGUCUUUGCAAAUGAUUGAGUUAAGGUGGCAUCAUCAAGUCGAAUGUGUCCCUAUAAAAAUGGGAAAUUUGGGCACAGACAUGCACAGAGGGAAGAUAU
rnacentral:lncRNA from 1 species